rnacentral:rRNA from 1 species
UACGGGAGGCAGCAGUGGGGAAUAUUGCACAGUGGGCGCAAGCCUGAUGCAGCCAUGCCGCGUGUAUGAAGAAGGCCUUCGGGUUGUAAAGUACUUUCAGUCGUGAGGAAGGUGUUAAGGUUAAUAACCUUAGCAAUUGACGUUAGCGACAGAAGAAGCACCGGCUAACUCCGUGCCAGCAGCCGCGGUAAUACGGAGGGUGCGAGCGUUAAUCGGAAUUACUGGGCGUAAAGGGCACGCAGGCGGUUAAUUAAGUUGGAUGUGAAAUCCCCGGGCUUAACCUGGGAAUGGCAUUCAAGACUGGUUAGCUAGAGUCUUGUAGAGGGGGUAGAAUUCCAUGUGUAGCGGUGAAAUGCGUAGAGAUGUGGAGGAAUACCGGUGGCGAAGGCGGCCCCUGGGACAAAGACUGACGCUCAUGUGCGAAAGCGUGGGGAGCAAACAGGAUUAGAUACC